GAUGAACGCUGGCGGCGUGCCUAACACAUGCAAGUCGAACGGAGUUAUUAUUAUGAAGUUUUCGGAUGGAUUAAUAAUAACUUAGUGGCGGACGGGUGAGUAACGCGUGGGUAACCUGCCUCAUACAGGGGGAUAACAGUUGGAAACGGCUGCUAAAACCGCAUAACAUUGCGAUGUCGCAUGACAAUGCAAUUAAAUAUUUAUAGGUAUGAGAUGGGCCCGCGUCUGAUUAGCUAGUUGGUGGGGUAAUGGCCUACCAGGGCGACGAUCAGUAGCCGGGUUGAGAGAGUGACCGGCCACAUUGGGACUGAGACACGGCCCAAACUCCUACGGGAGGCAGCAGUGGGGAAUAUUGCACAAUGGGGGAAACCCUGAUGCAGCGACGCCGCGUGAGUGAAGAAGUAUUUCGGUAUGUAAAGCUCUAUCAGCAGGGAAGAAAAUGACGGUACCCGACUAAGAAGCCCCGGCUAACUACGUGCCAGCCGCCGCCGUAA
rnacentral:rRNA from 1 species